GGGUUACCGAAUUCAGACAAACUCCGAAUGCCAAUUAAUUUAACUUGGGAGUCAGAACAUGGGUGAUAAGGUCCGUGUUCGAAAGGGAAACAGCCCAGACCACCAGCUAAGGUCCCAAAAUAUAUGUUAAGUGGAAAAGGAUGUGGCGUUGCCCAGACAACUAGGAUGUUGGCUUAGAAGCAGCCAUCAUUUAAAGAGUGCGUAAUAGCUCACUAGUCGAGUGACACUGCGCCGAAAAUGUACCGGGGCUAAACAUAUUACCGAAGCUGUGGAUUGUCCUUUGGACAAUGGUAGGAGAGCGUUCUAAGGGCGUUGAAGCAUGAUCGUAAGGACAUGUGGAGCGCUUAGAAGUGAGAAUGCCGGUGUGAGUAGCGAAAGACGGGUGAGAAUCCCGUCCACCGAUUGACUAAGGUUUCCAGAGGAAGGCUCGUCCGCUCUGGGUUAGUCGGGUCCUAAGCUGAGGCCGACAGGCGUAGGCGAUGGAUAACAGGUUGAUAUUCCUGUACCACCUAUA
rnacentral:rRNA from 1 species